ACGUCCAUACCACGCUGAAUAUACCGGUUCUCAUCUGAUCACCGAAGUUAAGCAGCGUCGGGCGCGGUCAGUACUUGGAUGGGUGGACCGCCUAUUAACACCGCGUAAUG